rnacentral:rRNA from 1 species
AUUGAACGCUGGCGGCAUGCCUUACACAUGCAAGUCGAACGGCAGCACGGGUGCUUGCACCUGGUGGCGAGUGGCGAACGGGUGAGUAAUACAUCGGAACAUGUCCUGUAGUGGGGGAUAGCCCGGCGAAAGCCGGAUUAAUACCGCAUACGAUCUACGGAUGAAAGCGGGGGACCUUCGGGCCUCGCGCUAUAGGGUUGGCCGAUGGCUGAUUAGCUAGUUGGUGGGGUAAAGGCCUACCAAGGCGACGAUCAGUAGCUGGUCUGAGAGGACGACCAGCCACACUGGGACUGAGACACGGCCCAGACUCCUACGGGAGGCCGCAGUGGGGAAUUUUGGACAAUGGGCGAAAGCCUGAUCCAGCAAUGCCGCGUGUGUGAAGAAGGCCUUCGGGUUGUAAAGCACUUUUGUCCGGAAAGAAAUACUUGGCCCUAAUACGGUCGGGGGAUGACGGUACCGGAAGAAUAAGCACCGGCUAACUACGUG